UUAUAUUAGUUUGGAAGAGAGAAGGACUAGCAAUUGGGGGUGAUUGGGAAAGACUCCAUGCUGAAAAUGGUUCCUGUGUUAUCCUAGACAAAUAACUUAACUUCUCUGUCUGACUUAGUUUCCUUAUUAAUAAAAAUGAGGAUACUAAUAGUACUUACCUCUCAGGGUUGUUGUGAGAAUCAGAAAAUACAAUGUCUGAUAUAUAGUAGAGACUUAAUGUUCCUCCUCUGAUUUGCAUCUCAAGAGAAGAGAGUAACCCUAUGAGGCAGAGAUGAGAAGGAAGUGAAUUUUGUAAUGGAGGAUGACCAGUGUAAAAGCCCCGGGAUGGAAAAAUGGGAGUAUUAAGAAUGACAGUUCUCUGGACAAGUCACUUAAACCCCAUUGCCUAGCCUUUACCACUCUCCUGCCUUGUGUGGAAGAAGCAUGAAGGAAGAGAGAAUUUCAUGCAUGCAAGACAGAGAGUAAAGGACCUCAGAUGUCAAUCAGGAAAGAACUUUCCAAAUAGAAUGUUCCCAGGAAAGUCAGUUGGAGAGUCAAGCCAGGCUGAAGAGGGAAGAAGCUGGGAACAGGUUCCCUAUUAGCUUCUGUCCUAGGAUGAAGCCUCUUGGCUUUGGAAAGGGGAGGCAAGAAGAAGAGUCAUAUUCUGUCUUCGUCAACCUGAAGUGUAGUUGGCAUCAUUCCAUCUUUUCUUUCAAAGCCAGAAGCCAGGAUCAUUUGAAGAGAUUUAAAAGAGUUGGAGAGAAUGAAGAGACCUGAAGAGGAUGAAGACUGGAGAGCUUGGAUCACCUUGUUUCUCACACAGACUUAGGAUCUUGAUGUAUGUCAGUGAGGAGAGAUUCCCAUAAAAAUGUGCUAUGGGGAAAAUUUUUACAGUAACAAUCAGAGGUAUGGAACUUCCUUGGGGCAAGGACUAUCAGUCUAACCUCAAAAAAGAAUUUAUUAAGAUGUCACUAUACAAAAUACUGUACUAGGAAAGAGCACUACUUUUAAAAAGUCAAACUAGCUCUUGUCCACAAGGAUGUUGUGAUCAUUUUUGUCUUUAUUUAUAUCUCCAGAACCUGACAUAAUGCCUUACAUGAAGUAAUCAACUAAUAUUUAUUAAAUUCAAUAAGUGUUGAAUUGAAUUUUAAAAAAUUAUCCAGGUUUCAUUUUGGUAAUUUUUCUUUUAUUACCUCUAUUUAGUAAAUGUCUCCCUCUCCUGGUCCCCAUCUACUUAAAAAAGAAGUUCCUUUAGAAUCUUCAAACCUGCUAGAUAGAUAAUUGGAAAGAAAGUCUAUUGUGGGGAACUUAGUUUCAGAGACAUUUGAGUAGUUCCCUUGUACAUGCAUAACAGUUAACUUCUUUUAAUUAAACUUUUGCCAGAGAGAAAGAUCCUGAACUCAAGCCAGUCAAAUCACCUCACUUGAUUGGACCACAUAAUUAAAAUGAAAGCAUUCUAUUUCAGAGGGAGUCAUUUGUCACUCCUCACUCAUUGACUACUAAUUUCAUGGAAUUGUAGAAUGCUAGAACUUGAAGGGGCCUUGGAAGAUCAUCUAGUGAAUCCAAUUCUCUCAUUUCACAGAUGAGAAAACAUCUUUAAGUUGAUGAAAACACAGAAAAACGCAUGCAACAAAAGCCAUCUCACUCCACCCUCUAACUGAUUGUCUCUGACUAAAUUCCUAAAGAUUCAGAUCAGUAGAGAGGAGAAUUGUGCUGAGGGUAAAAGUAGGCCGUGGGGGACUCAUAGAGCCUCCAAGGUUACAUUUCAAGAGUGACU
ensembl:lncRNA